CCUACGGGAGGCAGCAGUGGGGAAUAUUGCACAAUGGGGGAAACCCUGAUGCAGCGACGCCGCGUGAGUGAAGAAGUAAUUCGUUAUGUAAAGCUCUAUCAGCAGGGAAGAAAAUGACGGUACCUGAGUAAGAAGCCCCGGCUAACUACGUGCCAGCAGCCGCGGUAAUACGUAGGGGGCAAGCGUUAUCCGGAUUUACUGGGUGUAAAGGGAGCGUAGACGGCAGUGCAAGUCUGGAGUGAAAGGCGGGGGCUCAACCCCCGGACUGCUCUGGAAACUGUACGGCUGGAGUGCAGGAGAGGUAAGUGGAAUUCCUAGUGGAGCGGUGAAAUGCGGAGAUAUUAGGAGGAACACCAGUGGCGAAGGCGGCUUACUGGACUGUAACUGACGUUGAGGCUCGAAAGCGUGGGGAGCAAACAGGAUUAGAUACCCUAGUAGUC
rnacentral:rRNA from 1 species